rnacentral:piRNA from 1 species
UGAGAUGGGAAAAGGAGGUAGC